rnacentral:rRNA from 1 species
CCUUGGCUGUCCCCGCUAUGGAAAGCCCCCAUCCCUUUAAAGAUUAAGAUCUUUGUUUGGCAAUUACUACGGGAUCGCCUCCCCUCAGGGACAGAGGUACUUAAGCGGCACGGACCUGGUGAUGGUCUAUGCCCUCUCUGUGCGGUACCAGAGACCGGGACACAUAUCCUCUUCUCAUGUACCGUCGCGAGGGUACUUUGGACGUAUGUCCGCGAGGCGUUGGGGCCUGAAUGGGAGGCCCUAAAUCUCGUUGAGUUCCUCCAACUUAGAGCUUUACAAUCGUCACAUCAUCGCCGCCUAUUUUGGCUUAUUUUUGCGGCGAUGACGUGGACUCUUUGGACGACUAGGAAUAAGAUGGUGAUAGAGAAGGUUUUCCCGAGGAAGGCGUCUAACUCCCUCUUCAAAUUCCUUGCUUUCCUGCAGCAUUGGCACCCGCUCUCGAGGCAGCGUGAUCGCGACCGACUUGGAUUGAUGAUGGAUGCGCUUCUGGUUUCGGCGCGUCGACUAUCUUCCUCGUAG